AUUGAACGCUGGCGGAAGGCCUAACACAUGCAAGUCGCACAAGUGGCGGACGGGUGAGUAAUGUCUGGGAAACUGCCUGAUGGAGGGGGGUCAAUACUGGGAACGGUAGCUAAUACGGCAUACCAUCGGAUGUGCCAAGAUGGGCUUAGAUAGUAGGUGGGGUAACGGAUCACCUAGGCGCCGCUCCCUAGCUGGUCUGAGUGGCUGACCAGCCACACUGGAACUGAGCCACGGUCCAGACUCCUACGGGAGGCAGCAGUGGGGAAUAUUGGACAAUGGGCGAAAGCCUGAUCCAGCCAUGCCGCGUGUGUGAAGAAGGUCUUCGGAUUGUAAAGCACUUUAAGUUGGGAGGCGUUACCAACAGAAUAAGCACCGGCUAACUUCGUGCCAGCCGCCGCGGUAAUAC
rnacentral:rRNA from 1 species